rnacentral:lncRNA from 1 species
CUUCGACCCGUCGGCCAUGACCAGGGCAAAAGAACUUGGAAAUUGGACAUUGUGCUAUUUAUAUAAACAGCCAAAACCCUCACUAAUUUUAGCCCGGAAAGGGAGAAUGAGAAGGAAUCAGAGAGAAAAAUGGGAUUUUCAGCAAAGGGUGGUUGCCCUCUCUCUGGUUUAUGUCCAUUGUUUCUCCAUUCUUGAAAAACUAACAACCCUUUGAAGAAAAAAGAAAAGGAAAAUAUACAACAGCUGAUUUGCACAAAUAGCCAUUCUCGUCAACAGAAAGGUUUUCUCCGUCAAUUUGGUUCUUGACUCUAUACAAUCAGCCAAAACCUCUUGAAUCUCUAGAAAAUAGGAGCUAUUAUGCUCUUCCUUUUUCUGCUUCUGCUGAUUUUGCACAAAUACCCGCUUUUAUGUCCCUUUGUAUUUACAAGGUGACAACUGAUUUGCACAAAUAGGAUACUGAAAUGGGCUGUGAUGAUGAUUUGCUUCUUUCUUUCUGAGCUAUAUAUACUUUACAUGCGUUGAGAAAAAUCCGACCCGUAUCGUUGUGGGGCUACCCGUGUAUGGCAAUAAUUUGCAAACCGGUGUCUUGCAGCCAUGGCGUGUGUCUCCUUUCUCUUUGCAUGUCCAUGGGACAUACAGCAAAAUCUGAGCCCUAGAUACCCAUUUUGUUUUUUUUUUCUUUUCUGCAGAUGCAGUUUCCCAUCAAUUUUUUAGCUCAAAAGUUGAGGCACUUGGAGAAAAAGAAAAAGGAUUUUUAGCUCAAAAAAUUAGGCCAUUGGAGAAAAAAUGAACUUUUUGGCUUAAAAAUUUGAGGCAAUUGGAGAAACAUGGGAUUUUUAGCUUAAAAACGAGGUAAUUGAAGAAAAAAAUGGGGGUUUUUAAGCUCAAAAAAUGAGGGAACAUCUCCAGCAUGCCUAUGAUUGCUAGUUACUGUUAGCUCUAACCAACAGCCCUUUUUGUAUGGGAAAAAAUUCCAAAUUUACCCACAACUAGCAAAAUGGUCUACUUUGAGAAAAUCCGACCCGUAUCUUGGCAGGGCAAACCGUGUGUGGUAAUAAUUUGCAAACCGGUGUCUGCAGCCGUGGCGUGUGUCUGCUUUUUCUUUGCAUGUUCAUACUGGGAGAAAUUCAAAAAUAGCCAGAUUUAUAAGUGGUAAUCGAAAAAUAGCCACAGUUUCAAAAGUAAUCGGUGCUCAAGUUCAUACACAGGUGAUAUUAUGGUGGAACUUUCGUGUGUUGCAGCAAAAUAGAGGUUAUUUUUCAAUGACUUUACAAAUGAUGGCAAUUUUUCAAUUACCGGUCCGAAAAUUGGCUAGUCCGUGCUAUUUUAUACAGAGCAAAAUUUGAGCCUUAAAUCUUUUAGCUCAUAGAAUGAGGCAAUCGAAGAAAAAUGGGAUUUUCUAGGUACUUGACAAUUUCUGCCAUGCCUACGAUUUCUAAUUUGCUCUAAUCAACUAAAUAUUUGCAUGUGUGUGUAUUGUAUGUCUGUUUUGUCUCUCUAUCUGUGACUACUUUGCUCCUGCGUUUUAGGCAAAGCAUAGAUAAGAGAGGGACUUUCCAAGAUUCGAACACAGGACUUCUUGUUUGGUGAAACCCUUUUUUUUGUAUAGCCAUGUUGUUGUUUCUAAUGCUGGAAUUGCUUCUGUUUGUGCUGUUUGCUGUUAUUGCUGCUGUUGGGCUGUUUUAUGAACCAAACAGCAAGGGAUCAAUGUAACCAAAGGGGGAAGUUAAGGCUGUGAUGGUAAUGCCAAGGAGGGGUUCUUCCCUUGCCCUAAGUAUGGUUUUCUGAUAUACUCAAGAAAAUGCCUCGAUUGAAACAUCAUGGCAUGGUAACCUGGAGAGGUUGCAGCCAUGGCGGGGUAACCUGGCGAGAUUGUAGGGUACAUGAUGCGCAUCUAUAUAUGUUUUUUAUUGGAAAAUAUCGAAGCCGGGUCCCUACUGUGGCAGGGUACUAUUCUUCCACUAGACCACUUGUCCUUCUUAACAUGAUGAGCAUGUAUAUUGUCCGGAAACUAGGGGUAUCAAUGGUUCGGCCAGGCCAGUUAUUUUACAAUGAGAUCCAUAUUUUUGGGAGGUUCAAAAGGAUUAGAGAACUAUAAAUCUCAUUAGUUCAAGUCUGAGUCUACUGGGUUCAGAGUGUUGUGGGGAGCUGUUUGAGUGGUUGCCCCUCUCUGUCAUUCCUAGCAGCCAAUGAUCACUCAAUAUUUCCCAAUUUCGGACCACCCUUUAGCAAUAUAAGUUCGACGAGCCAGUGAAGAUUUUCACUCUUACUCAUCAGAUGGUUGAGCUUUGCUAAAUCUUGGCGUGGAGCUUUUGGUUGGUCUUGUGAGAUAUGGGAGCUAUUUGGUAAGGGGACCAGCGCUUCUACUCCUCCACCGAGGAGCCGUUCUUGCGAGAAGCAAGGGAUGUCGUGAACGGUGGGAGGUCACAGAGAAUUGACCUAUUCAUAGAGUGAUCCUAUGAUCGAUACAGGAUAUAGACUAUCUCAUUCUUUAUUCUAUUCUAUUUCUGAAAGAAAAAAAAAAAGAAGGGUGACUCAACUUCUCAGCUAGAGUUGGUGGUGGGACCUGUUGGCAUAAUGCACGCUGGAACGUGGGAAUUCGAGGUCUCAUGAACUACUACUAAAAACCUACUUUGUUUUUGUUUUGUUUGUGGACAAACAAAAAAGAAGGGUGACUCAACUUCUCUUGCGUGUCUCACAAAGGCUUCUCAUUAAGAUUGCAGCCAUGACGGCGUUUAGCUUAUGCUUGAGAAGAGGCUAAUCUUAGCCUCCCAAGUAUCUGUAUAUUUUCAAAGGAGGCUUUUUAUGGAAGUCGAGAAAGGUUGAGAUUUUCUAAGGGUGGUUAGUCUCUUCCUCUGAAGUUCAGUAUAGCCGAUGAAUUUUGCAGUACUAUUGUAAAAAAGAUAAAGAAUAACAGCCCUAUCAUCAGCUAAUGCCAAUUAUGCUCUUGAUGACGACGACGACGAUGAUAGCCAUGGUUAUGGCAAGCAAACAACAAACAACAACAAAACCAAUGUAAUCCCACAUGUGGCGUUUUGGGAGGAGGGUAUACGCACACCUUACCCCUACCUGGUGAAGGUAGAUAAGCAUGGUUAUUCCAAUAAGGAAAAUACAUAUUCUGCCCCCUAAGCUUGUCCAGGAGAACCUGAAUCCUUAACCCGGAACUUUGUGAUGAGGCUAUGAUGAUAUCUCCCAAAAGCUUGAAAAUGAGAUUUUUGAGCUGAUUGGUAUCUUGGCUAGGCAAAGGCAGGGAAUUUGUGAGGUAGGUACUUAUGUGCUUCUCAUGAAGGCAUCUGCUUUUUGCAGCCAUGUCGGAUUAGCCCUUCUCUUUUGAUAGCAGUACUAAGUACGCCUUGCAUUCCAAUUUAUGUGAACUGAAAAUGUCCAAAUUGCUAUUGAGAAGUUUCCAUCUUCCAAAGAGGCAGUGAUAUUAUUGCUAUCCUAAGCUUAAAUUGGAGGCAUGGAGAAAACCGACUCGUAUCUUGGCAAGGCAAACCAGGAUCAUGCAACUGAUUCAUUUUGAAGCCAUGGCGUUGUCGUCUUCUCUUUGCCCCAUUUUACACAGAUCUGAGCCCCAACCCCCAGUAGGAAGAAUGAGGUAUCAAAGAGAGAAAUGGGAUUUUCAGCAAAAGGGUGGUUGCCCUCUCUCUGGUUUAUGUCCAUGGUUUCUCCAUUCUUGGAAAACUAACAACCCUUUGAAGAAAAAAGAAAAGGCAAAUAUACAACAACUGAUUUACAAAUAGCCAUUCUCGUCAACAGAAAGGUUUUCUCCGUCAAUUUGGUUCUUGACUCUACAUAAUCAGCCAAAACCUCUUGAAUCUCUAGAAAAUAGGAGCUAUUAUGCUCUUCCUUUUUCUGCUUCUGCUGAUUUUGCACAAAUACCCGCUUUUAUGUCCCUUUGUAUUUACAAGGUGACAACUGAUUUGCACAAAUAGGAUACUGAAAUGGGCUGUGAUGAUGAUUUGCUUCUUCCUUUCUGGACUAUAUCUACUUUUCAAGCGUUCAGAAAAUCCGACCCGUAUCUUGGCGGGGCGACCCGUGUAUGGCAAUAAUUUGCAAACCGGUGUCUUGCAGCCAUGGCGUGUGUCUGCUUUCUCUUUGCAUGUUCAUGGGAUAUACAGCAAAAUCUGAGCCCUAGAUACCCAUUUUGGGUUUUUUUUCUUUUCUGCAGAUGCAGUUUCCCAUCAAUUUUUUAGCUGAAAAGUUGAGGCACUUGGAGAAAAAGAAAAAGGAUUUUUAGCUCAAAAAAUUAGGCAAUUGGAGAAAAAAUGAACUUUUUGGCUAAAAAAUUGAGGCAAUUGGAGAAACAUGGGAUUUUUAGCUUAAAAACGAGGUAAUUGAAGAAAAAAAUGGGGGUUUUUUAAGCUUAAAAAAAUGACGGAACAUCUCCAGCAUGCCUAUGAUUGCUAGUUACUGUCAGCUCUAACCAACAGCCCUUUUGGUAUGGGAAAAAAAUUCCAAAUUUACCCACAACUAGCAAAAUGUUCUACUUUGAGAAAAUCCGACCCGUAUCUUGGCAGGGCAAACCGUGUGUGGUAAUAAUUUGCAAACCGGUGUCUGCAGCCAUGGCGUGUGUCUGCUUAAUCUUUGCAUGUUCAUACUGGGAGAAACUCAAAAAUAGCCAGAUUUGUAAGUGGUAAUCGAAAAAUAGCCACAUUUUCAAAAGUAAUCGAAAUUUAGUUACUUUUCAUGUAAAGGUAAAUCUAAACAAAAACAUUGUUCAAAAUCUGAAAAAUAUUCCCGUAUAUUUACGGGAGAUCAAAUUUUUUAAAUGUGAACUGCUCGCACAAUAUACUGAAGUUCAUACACAGGUGCUCAAGUUCAUACACAAGUGAUCCAAUCUCCAGUAUAUUAUAAUAUGCUGGAGCAACAUAGAGGUUAUUUUUCAAUGACUACAAUUGCUGGCUAUUUUUCAAUUACCAGUCCGAGAAUUGGCUAGCUCAGAGCAAAAUUUGAGCCCUGAAUCUUUUAUCUCAAAGAAUGAGGCAAUCGAAGAAAAAUGGCAUUUUUCUAGGUACUUGACAAUUUCUGCCAUGCAUACGCUUUCUAAUUUGCUCUAAUCAACAGAAUAUUUGCAUGUGUGUGGAUUGUAUGUCUAGUUUUGUCUCUAUCUGUGACUACUUUGCUCCUGCGUUUUAGGUAAAGCAUAGAUAAGAGGACACAGGACCUCUUGUUUGGUGAAACCCAUGUCAUUUUGUAUAGCCAUGUUGUUGUUGCUGAUGCUGUAAUUGCUUCUGUUUGUGUUGUUUGCUAUUAUUGCUGCUGUUGGGCUAUUUUAUGAACCAAACAGUCAAGAGAUGGGUAGAAAAUUGUCUUGCUUAUAUAGAGCGAACGCAAUUUUCAUUUUUUUUUAAGGUAAGUGCAAUGUUCAUUUAAUAUCCUAUAGCGGAGUGAGGAGUCCAUAACAGGUAGAAAGCAAUCAAUAAGACAUAUCAAAUAACUAUGUCUAUAAUUUGAUUUUAAAUACAAGCAUAGACGGUAAAUUUUGAUUGCAACUCUAAUGGAGUUUGAAAGAUAUUAUAACCACCCAAGGUGGUAAAAUUUCUAUGUCUUGCCAUGAUCAAAUUCAUGUAUGAUUGUGGGCAAAGAAUUGAAAACCCGUCCCAUUGAAUUUGCUCCAUUCUCAUUCCUUGUUUGGUGAAACCCAUGUCAUUUUGUAUAGCCAUGUUGUUGUUGCUGAUGCUGGAAUUGCUUCUGUUUGUGCUGUUUGCUAUUAUUGCUGCUGUUGGGCUGUUUUAUGAACCAAACAUCAAGGGAUCAAUGUAACCAAAGGGGGAAGUUAAGGUUCUGAUGGUAAUGCUAAGGAGGGGUCUUCCCUUGCCCUAAUUAUGGUUUUCUGAUAUACUCAAGAAAAUGCCUCGAUUGAAACAUCAUGGCAUGGUAACCUGGAGAGGUUGCAGCCAGGGCGGGGUAACCUGGCGAGAUUGUAGGGUAUAUGAUGCGCAUCUAUAUAUGUUUUUUAUUGGAAAAUAUCGAAGCCGUGUCCCUGCUGUGGCAGGGUACUAUUCUUCCACUAGACCACUUGUCCUUCUUCACAUGAUGUGCAUGUAUAUUGCCCGGAAACUAGGGGUAUCAAUGGUUCGGUUCGGCCAGGCCUGUUAUUUUGCAAUGAGAUCCAUAUUUUUGGGAGAUUCAAAAGGAUGAGAGAAUUAUAAAUCUCAUUAGUUCAAGUCUGAGGCUGCUGGGUUCAGAGAGUUGUGGGGAGCUGUUUGAGUGGUUGCCCCCCUCUGUCAUUCCUAGCAGCCAAUGAUCACUCAAUAUUUCCCAAUUUCGGACCACCCUUUAGCAAAAUAAGUUCGACGAGCCAGUGAAGAUUUUCACUCUUUACUCAUCAGAUGGUUGAGCUUUGCUAUAUCUUGGUGUGGCGCUUUUGGUUGGUCUUGUGAGAUAUGGGAGCUAUUUGGUUUGCGUGUCUCACAAAGGCUUCUCUCUAAGAUUGCAGCCAUGACGGAGUUUAGCUUAUGCCUGAGAAGAGGCUAAUCUUAACCUCCCAAGUAUCUGUAUGUUUAAAAAGGAGGCUUUUUAUGGAAGUCGAGAAAGGUUGAGAUUUUCUAAGGGUGGUUAGUCUCUUCCUCUGAAGUUCAGUAUACCCGAUGAAUUUUCCAGUACUAUUGUUACAAAGAUAAAGAUUAACAGCCCUAUCAUCAGCUAAUGCCAAUUAUGCUCUUGAUGAUGAUGACAACGACGACGAUAGCCAUGGUUAUGGCAAGCAAACCACAAACAACAACAAAACCAAUGCAAUCCCACAUGUGGUGUUUUGGGAGGAGGGUAUACGCGCACCUUACCCCUACCUGGUGAAGGUAGAUAAGCAUGGUUAUUACAAUAAGGAAAAUACAUAUUCUGCCCCCUAAGCUUGUCCUGGAGAACCUGAAUCCUUAACCCUGAACUUUGUGAUGAGGCUAUGAUGAUAUUCUCCCAGAAGCUUGAAAAUCAGAUUUUUCAGCCGAUUCGUAUCUUGGCUAGGCAAAAGCAGGGGAUUUGUGAGGUAGGUACUUAUGUGCUUCUCACGAAGGCAUCUGCUUUUUGCAGCCAUGUCGGAUUAGCCCUUCUUUUCUGAUAGCAGUACUAAGUACGCCUUGCGUUCCAAUUUAUGUGAACUGAAAAUGUCCAAAUUGCUAUUGAAAAGUUUCCAUCUUUCCAAAGAGGCAGUGAUAUUAUUGUUAUCCUAAGCUGAAAUUGGAGGCAUGGAGAAAACCGACUCGUAUCUUGGCAGGGAAAACCGGGAUCAUGCAACUGAUUCAUUUUGAAGCCAUGGCGUUGUCGUCUUCUCUUUGCCCCAUUUUACACAGAUCUGAGCCUCAACCCUCAGUAGGAAGAAUGAGGUAUCAAAGAGAGAAACGGGAUUUUCAGUAAAGGCGUGGUUGCCCCCUCUCUGCCGUGUCCCUGAUUUCUUCAUUCAAUAAAGCAACAACCCUUUGGGAAUAAAAGAAAAGAAAAGUAAAAUGUUUCUGCUUCUUCUGCUACAACGGCUGAUUGCACAAAUAGCCGAUUUUAUGACCCCUUAUAUUUGCGAAGGUGACAACUGAUUUGCACUAAUAGGAUUACUGAAAUGGACUAUGAUGAUCGUUUGCUUCUUCCUGGGUUAUCUACUUUUACAUAUGUUGAGAAAGAUCUGACCUGUAUCUUGGCAGGGCAACCCGUGUAUGGCAAUCAUUUGCAAACCGGUGUCUGCAGCCACAGCCACAGUGUGGUCCCUUUCUCUUUGCAUGUUCAUAGAAUUACAGCAAAAUAUGAGCCCUAAAGGCCCAAUUGGGUUCUUCCGUUUUUUCUUGAACACCCCAUUUCAGAUGCAGUUCAAAAAACGAGGCAAUUAGAUAAAAAAAGGGAUUUUUUGAGCGUGUUUGACCAUCUCCAUCAUGCCUAUGAUUUUUUUUUUAACUUUUAGCUCUAACCAACAGCCCUUUUUGUAUGUGCAAGAGGUCCAUAUUUACACCUAUCCUACAUGAAAUGGUCUACUUUUGCGCCCCACUUAAUAGAUGAGGGCUAAUUUUGCACUUGUGUACUUUUUCUUCUCAGGUAUCCAUGCAUGAUUUCAAUCCAAAAAUCACUUUGCUUGCUUAGUGAAUUUAGUUGAUAGAUAGACAUAUAAAUAGAAAAAAUGAGGCUCUGAUCAUAAAGAUAGUGCUUUUAUCCAUACAUAUCACGAGAAAAUGUCCAAAUUGAUCCUUUAUGAGGCAUCUUUCAAUCUAUCCUCCUGAUUUAGUAAUUGAGCAUAGACAGUACCUGAACCGUGUCUUGGCGGGGCAAUGUCCCAGAUGCAUGUGAUAAAUUGUAACAUGUAACUGAGGGUAUUUGCAGCCAUGGCGUGGCCGGACUUUCUUAGCUUGAGCGUAAAUACAGCUCUGAGCCUCAGUUAUUCAAAAAAAUUAGAGCAUUAUAAGAUUAAGCCGAGGGUGAAAUAAGAAUGGCAAAAAUCUCAUUAGUUUUAAGUCUGAGGCUGCUGGAUUCAGAGAGUUGUGGGGAAUUCUUUGAGUGGUUGCCCCUCUUUGUUAUUCUUAGCAGAUCACUGAAAGUUUCCCAAUUUCAGAACACUCUUUAGUGAAGAAGUUCAAAUAAUGCAGUGAAGAUUUUCAUUCUUUACUCAUCAGUUGGUUGAGCUUUGCUAUUUCUUGGCGUGGCAGCUUUUGGGGGUCUUGUGAGAUAUAGGAGCUAUUUUGCUUUCCGUGUCUCACAAAGGCUUCUUAAGCUUGCAGCCAUGGCGGGGUUUAGCUAAUGAGAAAAGGCGAAUCUGAGCCCCUCCCAAAUGUCUGUUUGUGUUCAACGAAUGAGGCUUUUUAUGGAACUCGGAGAAAGGUUGAGAUUUUCUAAGGGUGGUUACUCUCUUCCUCUGAAGUUCCGUAUAUCCAAUGAAGUAUCCUAUACUUUUGUUACGAAAAGAGAUCAACAGCCCUUUCAGUUGCAAAAUGGCGAUUAUGAUGAUGACGAUAGCCAUGGUUAUGGUAAUAAUAAGGGAAACUAUAUAUUUUAUUCCAUACACUUGUUCGGAAAAACCCAAAUCCUAAACCCUGAACUUUGUAAAUGAGGCUAUGGUGAUAUUCCAGGAAGCUUGAAAGUUGGAGUUUAUAGCUGAUUCAUCUUUGCUAGGCAGAGGCAGCAGUAUCUGUGAGGUGGGUUCUCAUGUGCUCUCACAAAGGCAUAUGCUUUUCUCAGUCAUGGUGGAUUAGCCUUUUUUUUUUUUUUUCUGGUAGAUCGAAUCUGAGCCUCUUUUCUCUGCUAUGUUUGUUCUACAAUGGGUGGUCUGUUUCUUUUGUUCUUUUUAUGCUCAUGUUGUAUAAUAUUGGUAGACAAGAGGGGUUGCUCUGAUGGUAAGCAACCCCCACUUCCAACCGAGAGGUNNNN